rnacentral:rRNA from 1 species
GACAGAGGGUGCAAACGUUGCUCGGAAUCACUGGGCGUAAAGGGCGUGUAGGCGGGAAGGAAAGUCGGGCGAUGAAAUCCCUGGGCUCAACCCAGGAAGCUGCACUCGAAACUUCUUUUCUUGAGUGCCGGAGAGGAAAGCGGAAUACCUGGUGUAGAGGUGAAAUUCGUAGAUAGUCAGGUGGAACACCAGUGGCGAAGGCGGCUUCUGGGUCUUACCUGACGCUGGAGGAACGAAAGCUAGGGGAGCGAACGGG